rnacentral:rRNA from 1 species
UGUGUAGGCGGGGCUGUUAGUCAGAGGUGAAAUCCUACGGCUUAACCGUAGAACUGCCUUUGAUACUGCAGCUCUUGAGUCCUGGAGAGGCUACUGGAAUUCGUGGUGUAGCGGUGAAAUGCGUAGAUAUCACGAGGAACACCAGAGGCGUAGGCGGGUAGCUGGACAGGUACUGACGCUGAGGCACGAAAGCGUGGGGAGCAAACA